UACGAAGGGGACUAGCGUUGUUCGGAAUUACUGGGCGUAAAGCGCGCGUAGGCGGAUCGCUAAGUCAGGGGUGAAACUCCCAGGGCUCAACCCUGGAACUGCCUUUGAUACUGACGAUCUGGAGAGUCGGGAGAGGUGAGUGGAACUGCGAGUGUAGAGGUGAAAUUCGUAGAUAUUCGCAAGAACACCAGUGGCGAAGGCGGCUCACUGGCCCGAUACUGACGCUGAGGCACGAAAGCGUGGGGAGCAAACAGGG
rnacentral:rRNA from 1 species